UCUGCAAGAAAAUUGUUAAACAACUUGAAGAACAGAUGUUAUCGUCUGAAAAGGAAGUAUUCGUUUUCAUAAAGUAAAUUUGUGCGUAUGUGUGGCCAGAGCUAAUUCUCAGCAGAUUUUGUUUCCUGCUUCUCCGGGAAAAUAUUUGUUUUCUCUGAGCGGAAUCAUUGCUCAUUCCUGGGGCGAUUCAAUUGUUCACUUGUAUUUCUUUGCUAGGGCUGCUAUAGCAGGGUAUCGCAGACUGGGUGGUUUCAACAACAGAAAUUUAUUUUCUCACAAUUCUGAAGGCCAAACAUUCGAGAUCACCGGACAGUAGUCCCCCCUUGCCCAUGGUUUCGCUUUCUGUGGUUUUGGUUACCGGAGACGAACCUCAGAAGCAGAUGACCCUCUACUGUCAGGUUCGUGGUCGCCCUAAACUACAAGGGUGCCUACAUCAUUCACCUCACCCCAUCUCACCAGCCAGAGGAGGCAUUUUAUCAUCUCACACCCUCACAAAAAGAAGAAAGUUACCAAAUUGGAGUUCCUGGGCCUCACGUUCUCUGGUCUACUUGGCGGAUAGUUUCCUCAACUUCGGAUUCUUCGGUGAGAGAUGAAAGUUGAACUCACUGGCAUCCAUAGAGAGUUAUCUUUCUAAGUGCUUUUUCAUAUUCCAAAUGUGUCUCGUCAGGAGCAACUUGCUUUGUGUCUACAAAGGUAUUAAGCAGAAAUGCAGUUCACACUUGAUAAUUGGUUUUCUCUUGGGCUGACCUUCAAUCUGCUACUUAGCAGAGUAUAUCCACACUUUCGACUGAAAGAUGACGUUAGGGACACAGUUCUGUUGGGGGUGGCUGUUAAGCUAAUAAUCCUUUCCAUUAAUCAACACACCAAAACUCUCUGCUACUUAGCAGAGUAUAUCCACACUUUCGACUGAAAGAUGACGUUAGGGACACAGUUCUGUUGGGGGUGGCUGUUAAGCUAAUAAUCCUUUCCAUUAAUCAACACACCAAAACUCUGUGGGCAGAGAUCACACUUUGCAACUUUAACUCUUAGAUUCGGUUGUGCUUUAUUGUGUAUUGUUCAGAGAGUAACUGAUACUUUUUAAAAACCUUUUUGGCAGCUCAGAUGGCGUAAAUUUUAAAAUUUUGUGCUGGUAUUUUGUUACAAAAAAUAUGUAUCUCUUUUUUGUUAUUUUAUCCUGAAAAUGGUACAUAGUUGUACAGGAAAUAAAACUACAGCCCUAAA